rnacentral:rRNA from 1 species
CCUACGGGAGGCAGCAGUGGGGAAUUUUGGACAAUGGGCGCAAGCCUGAUCCAGCCAUGCCGCGUGCGGGAAGAAGGCCUUCGGGUUGUAAACCGCUUUUGUCAGGGAAGAAAUCCUUUGGGUUAAUACCUCGGGGGGAUGACGGUACCUGAAGAAUAAGCACCGGCUAACUACGUGCCAGCAGCCGCGGUAAUACGUAGGGUGCGAGCGUUAAUCGGAAUUACUGGGCGUAAAGCGUGCGCAGGCGGUUGUGUAAGACAGAUGUGAAAUCCCCGGGCUCAACCUGGGAACUGCAUUUGUGACUGCACGGCUCGAGUACGGCAGAGGGGGAUGGAAUUCCGCGUGUAGCAGUGAAAUGCGUAGAUAUGCGGAGGAACACCGAUGGCGAAGGCAGUCCCCUGGGCCUGUACUGACGCUCAUGCACGAAAGCGUGGGGAGCAAACAGGAUUAGAUACCCUGGUAGCCCACGCCCUAAACGAUGUCAACUGGUUGUUGGGUGGGUUUCUACUCAGUAACGAAGCUAACGCGUGAAGUUGACCGCCUGGGGAGUACGGCCGCAAGGUUGAAACUCAAAUGAAUUGACGG